UUUGUGAUAAAAUCAAAAAAC
rnacentral:piRNA from 1 species